AGGAUAAACGCUGGCGGCGUGCCUAACACAUGCAAGUCGAACGCCCUUUUGUGCCGCAAGGUGGAAGAGGGAGUGGCGGACGGGUGAGUAACACGUGGGCAAUCUACCUUUCGGUGAGGAAUACCGGCGAGAAAUCGCCGACAAUACCGCAUACGCUUCGCAAGAAGCAAAGUCGCAAGACGCCGGAGGAGGAGCCUGCGCCCGAUUAGCUGGUUGGUGAGGUAAGAGCUCACCAAGGCGACGAUCGGUAGCUGGUCUGAGAGGAUGAUCAGCCACACUGGGAUUGAGAACGGCCCAGACUCCUACGGGGGCAGCAGUGAGGAAUUUUCGUCAAUGGGGGCAACCCUGAACGAGCAACGCCGCGUGCAGGAAGACGCUUUUCGGAGUGUAAACUGCUUUUCUAGGGACGAGUAAGGACGGUACCUAAGGAAUAAGCCCCGGCUAACUACGUGCCAGCAGCCGC
rnacentral:rRNA from 1 species